rnacentral:rRNA from 1 species
GGCUGCAACUCGCCUGCAUGAAGUCGGAAUUGCUAGUAAUCGCGGAUCAGCAUGCCGCGGUGAAUACGUUCCCGGGCCUUGUACACACCGCCCGUCACACCAUGGGAGUCGGUAACACCCGAAGCCGAUAGUCUAACGAAAGAGGACGUCGUCGAAGGUGGGAUUGAUGACUGGGGUGAAGUCGUAACAAGGUACC